UACGGAGGGAGCUAGCGUUGUUCGGAAUUACUGGGCGUAAAGCGCACGCAGGCGGCUAGUCAAGUUCGACGUGAAAGCUCCCGGCUUAACUGGGAGAGGUCGUUGAAAACUGGUUAGCUUGAGGCAAUGAGAGGGGUGUAGAAUUCCCGGUGUAGUGGUGGAAUGCGUAGAUAUCGGGAGGAAUACCAGUGGCGAAAGCGGCACCCUAGCGUUGUUCUGACGCUCAUGUGCGAAAGCGUGGGGAGCGAACGGG
rnacentral:rRNA from 1 species